GCUAGCUACAGGCUUAACACAUGCAAGUCGAGGGGUAGCAGGGUAGCAAUACCGCUGACGACCGGCGCACGGAUGAGUAACACGUAUCCAACCUUCCCAUAACUCGGGGAUAGCCUUUCGAAAGAAAGAUUAAUACCCGAUAGUACUUGAGAAAGGCAUCUUUUUUAAGUUAAAGAUUUAUUGGUUAUGGAUGGGGAUGCGUUCCAUUAGAUAGUUGGUGAGGUAACGGCUCACCAAGUCUUCGAUGGAUAGGGGUUCUGAGAGGAAGGUCCCCCACAUUGGUACUGAGACACGGACCAAACUCCUACGGGAGGCAGCAGUGAGGAAUAUUGGUCAAUGGGCGAGAGCCUGAACCAGCCAAGUAGCGUGAAGGAUGACGG
rnacentral:rRNA from 1 species